AUUGAACGCUGGCGGCAGGCUUAACACAUGCAAGUCGAGCGAGCGGCGGACGGGUGAGUGAUGUCUGGGAAACUGCCUGAUGGAGGGGGAUAACUACUGGAAACGGUAGCUAAUACCGCAUACCAUCAGAUGUGCCCAGAUGGGAUUAGCUAGUAGGUGGGGUAAUGGAUCACCUAGGCGACGAUCCCUAGCUGGUCUGAGAGGAUGACCAGCAAACCUGGAACUGAAACACGGUCCAGACUCCUAGGGGAGGCAGAAGUGGGAAAUAUUGGACAAGGGGCGCAAGCCUGAUUCAGCCAUGCCGCGUGUGUGAAGAAGGCCUUCGGGUUGUAAAGCACUUUCAGCGAGGAGGCGUUACUCGCAGAAGAAGCACCGGCUAACACCGUGCCAGCCACCGCGGUAAUAC
rnacentral:rRNA from 1 species